ACCUGUACUUGCACGUCUAUAAAAUUGUCACGCUGGCCUAGAUUAGGGGUCAGUAAACUAAUUUGGGUAAGUGUAAGCCUUACUUUGGGUCAGUAAGCCUUGGGUCAGUGUAGUUUCCAUUAACCACACUAACAUGCCAAAAUAUCCAUACUUUUAGUAAGUAUUAUAAAGAACAUUCUUAUCAACUAAUUUGGGAACCCCUGGUUAGCUCAUCUGUAUCCAAAUUACAUUGAAAAUAUGAACUGAUUCUCCAUUUUUCUUAAUCCAAUUAGACAUAUGUAACUGCUAAUCUGGUAGAAGAAAAAGUCAAUACGUGGAAUCUAUGAGACAGCAUGAAGAAGACGACUUUUCUGGUGUGCAUGAGUGAGCUGUCUUUCCCAGGAAGUCAAGGUCCAGACAUUAAGAAGAAAGGUGAUUCAGCUUCACAAGGCCCAACGCGGGCUGAAGAUGAAAACUAAUGAGAAAAGUCCAGAUGGCCAAGGGAAAAAAAAGAGAUUCAGUCUUCAAGACCAAGCAGAAGCUGAAGACACCAGCCAGCAAGGCCACAUGCUCCCCUCCCCUCCCCCGAACCCAGUUAAAAACCCCUCCCUUUUUCCUUUCAGGGAGGUGGAGUUGAGUUUCAACUCCCAUCUCCUCAUCUGGUUGCCUUUCAAUAAUAAACCUCUUACCUUGCCACAA